rnacentral:rRNA from 1 species
ACACAUGCAAGUCGAGGGGAAACGACAUCGAAAGCUUGCUUUUGAUGGGCGUCGACCGGCGCACGGGUGAGUAACGCGUAUCCAACCUGCCCACCACUUGGGGAUAACCUUGCGAAAGUAAGACUAAUACCCAAUGACGUCUCUAGAAGACAUCUGAAAGAGAUUAAAGAUUUAUCGGUGAUGGAUGGGGAUGCGUCUGAUUAGCUUGUUGGCGGGGUAACGGCCCACCAAGGCAACGAUCAGUAGGGGUUCUGAGAGGAAGGUCCCCCACAUUGGAACUGAGACACGGUCCAAACUCCUACGGGAGGCAGCAGUGAGGAAUAUUGGUCAAUGGACGAGAGUCUGAACCAGCCAAGUAGCGUGCAGGAUGACGGCCCUAUGGGUUGUAAACUGCUUUUAUAAGGGAAUAAAGUGAGUCUCGUGAGACUUUUUGCAUGUACCUUAUGAAUAAGGACCGGCUAAUUCCGUGCCAGCAGCCGCGGUAAUACGGAAGGUCCGGGCGUUAUCCGGAUUUAUUGGGUUUAAAGGGAGCGUAGGCCGGAGAUUAAGCGUGUUUUGAAAUGUAGACGCUCAACGUCUGCACUGCAGCGCGAACUGGUUUCCUUGAGUACGCACAAAGUGGGCGGAAUUCGUGGUGUAGCGGUGAAAUGCUUAGAUAUCACGAAGAACUCCGAUUGCGAAGGCAGCUCACUGGAGCGCAACUGACGCUGAAGCUCGAAAGUGCGGGUAUCGAACAGGAUUAGAUACCCUGGUAGUCCGCACGGUAAACGAUGGAUGCCCGCUGUUGGUUUGAAUAGGUCUGCGGCCAA